UAUAUGGACGCUCUCGGGGGAUCAGGGAAAGUUGUGGAAUCAAACAUCCAUCAACAUCCCAGUUAUCGACGGUCUUAAAGUUCGCAUUGAGGCAACUAGAAUAUCUGCAGAUGGACUUGGGGAUAUUGCUAUUGAUACAGUAGUCCUUAAGAAUAUCGCCUGUUCUUAAUACUGACGACGAUGACUCUUCCUUUUUAUACUAUAUGUUCAGACAAAAAUGUGUUUAUUAAUAAUGUACUCAGACUUAUGGAUAUUAAACAGUAAUCAUUAUUAUAAAGUAUAUUCAUCAUAAUCAUGUAUGCUUUCUGAUAAACAAAAGUAAGCCUUGAGCCUACCAGACAAAAACAGAUGUUCUAUAUCGUUCAUUGCAGGAUGAAUCAAUGGAAUCAAUUAUAUUAAAUAUAGAUGUCGAUUCCAAAAAGUGUCAACAUCUGUGUACCAGGACUUGUUUUUUGAUGUACAUGCAUACCACAAUAUAGCUGUUGAUUUCUGUGACAGCAAGUUUGCAUUUUCCUUAUUAAAUAUAUUACUGCAA